CAGCCUUCCUGAGUUCAAAUCCAUCUUCCUUCUCCCUAUGUUCUAGCCAUAUAUCCUUGAGCAAGUCACUGUCUGUGCAUCAGUUUCCCUCUUUAAUUGGGGGCAGUGAUAAUAUUUACUUCAAAGUCCUAUUGGAGGGAAUAGAAUGCCACUUCAUGAGGAACACAGAGUAAACACAGCAAUUUACAGGCAUCUUUCUGCUGCUCAGAGGAAGAUUCAGAAAUCACAUUGAUCUGAAACAGCAUCAUCUGGGAGCUUGUCAGAGAUCCACAGUCUCAAGCCUCCACCCCAGAACCACUGAGACAGAGUCUGAAGUUUUAAAGUCUCCAGGAGAUUUGUACACAUGUCAAGUCUAAGAAGCAAAGCGGUAGAACACAUUUUGAGAACCAGGGCCAAGGACGAUGACAGAAAUGGUUUUAACCUGGGAAACUUCAAUAAUCAAUCUUAGAGUUCAUUCACCUUGGAUCCUGAAAGACUUCGGUGUUUCUUCCAAGGAACAUCUGCUCUGGCAAGGGGAUUUUUCACUGGGAAAAUUACAUCUGAAGGCUGUCGUGGAGAGAUGCAGCUCAUCAUCGUCAAAGACAAAGCUUUGAGAGCAGGUCAGCAAAGGAGCCUGCUGGAUUGGCAGGCUCCAGGGAAGAGCUUAUUCCAGACACAGAGGCCCGAGGGAAGAUGAGAGAGAAGAAAUGGAACAAAGAAAGCAGUGAGGGACAAGCCCGGGCUCAGCCAAAGGAAGAAGCAGAGGAAAGAGGAAGGUAUGUUGGCGGAGUCCCAGCGGUUCCUCAUUCCAUUUGAGGACACGGUGAGCCAUCAUUGUCACGCAGCCUUUGGGAUGAAGU
ensembl:lncRNA